GUGUGUUUAGGGCGUCCAAAUCCACUUUUUCUAGUUUGACGGCGGUAAAAAGAGUCCGUGCGCCGGGCGCAUGGUUCAAAAGGGGUGUACUUAGUGUCUUCAUUAAUUCAUAGGUGUGUUUAAGGUGUAACAUGCAACCAACCAAUCAGAGGUCCUCUCCCAUUCCUUUUAAAAGCCAGGCGAGUUUGUACCUUGGGGCAUU